CGUAGGUGAACCUGCGGAAGGAUCAUUACCUAGAGUUGUAGGCUUUGCCUACCAUCUCUUACCCAUGUCUUUUGAGUACCUUCGUUUCCUCGGCGGGUCCGCCCGCCGAUUGGACAAACUUAAACCCUUUGUAAUUGAAAUCAGCGUCUGAAAAAACAUAAUAGUUACAACUUUCAACAACGGAUCUCUUGGUUCUGGCAUCGAUGAAGAACGCAGCGAAAUGCGAUAAGUAGUGUGAAUUGCAGAAUUCAGUGAAUCAUCGAAUCUUUGAACGCACAUUGCGCCCCUUGGUAUUCCAUGGGGCAUGCCUGUUCGAGCGUCAUUUGUACCUUCAAGCUCUGCUUGGUGUUGGGUGUUUGUCUCGCCUUUGCGUGCAGACUCGCCUUAAAACAAUUGGCAGCCGGCGUAUUGAUUUCGGAGCGCAGUACAUCUCGCGCUUUGCACUCAUAACGACGACGUCCAAAAAGUACUUUUUACACUCUUGACCUCGGAUCAGGUAGGGAUACCCGCUGAACUUAAGCAUAUCAAUAAGCGGAGG
rnacentral:rRNA from 1 species